rnacentral:rRNA from 1 species
UGGGGAAUUUUGGACAAUGGGCGCAAGCCUGAUCCAGCCAUGCCGCGUGCGGGAAGAAGGCCUUCGGGUUGUAAACCGCUUUUGUCAGGGAAGAAAAGCUCUGGGCUAAUACCUCGGGGUGAUGACGGUACCUGAAGAAUAAGCACCGGCUAACUACGUGCCAGCAGCCGCGGUAAUACGUAGGGUGCGAGCGUUAAUCGGAAUUACUGGGCGUAAAGCGUGCGCAGGCGGUUGUGCAAGACAGAUGUGAAAUCCCCGGGCUUAACCUGGGAACUGCAUUUGUGACUGCACGGCUAGAGUGUGGCAGAGGGGGAUGGAAUUCCGCGUGUAGCAGUGAAAUGCGUUAGAUAUGCGGAGGAACACCGAUGGCGAAGGCAAUCCCCUGGGCCUGCACUGACGCUCAUGCACGAAAGCGUGGGGAGCAAACA